CUACCCUUAGCAAUUCCUCCCCCGCCAUGCUGCUGUGUUAAGAGUCCUGGAAAUAGCGACAUUAUUACAAGUACCUGGUGAUGAGACCCAUGAGACCUCCUAGCACUACAGCCUCAGAGCAGACAGCUAAAGCCAUUUAAUCGAGCCAUACACUUUAAUUUAGGCACCCGGAUAAUCUCCUCUUUGUUAUUCCUCACGUGUUGCCUUUUUUCUUCUGAGAAGCUUUGUUUCUUCUGACUAUCCUGACUGCAGAUGGAUACCAAAGUGUGAGGUGUGAUGGUGCAGCCUUAGACAACAGCUGCUGCAGAAUCAGCUCCUGCUGUCCACCUAGAAGUGCACAAGCACCAAUGUCCUGGAACUGCGAGUGGAGUGAGCAUCACAGGGCUGCAGACUCCUUAGAGGAAACAAAACCCCCCUCCAAGGAGCAGCAGGAGGUGGCACAGACUCACUGGCCACAAGGAGCAGUCCCUGCCCACGGGCCCUGAAGGAUGAGCCCACAGAUUCAAGAAGAACCGGCUGUUGUCAGUGUGGCCACUCAACAACCUCUGACUGACCACUGUGACUGGGAGAAGUGCCCCACAAGGGCAGGAGGACCCAGGAAACUAAAGGCCAGUCAACCUCAAAUUGGAGAGGGAAGGUGAUGAAGCAGCUAGUCCUGGAAACCACUUCCAGACAUAUAAGCCACAGGAAAAUCAUCACAAGUAGACAGCUUGGAAUCACCAACAACUCAUCCUUGACCAACUUGGUAAAGCUUCAGUAUUGAAACAACCACAUCCAGUUCUGGACUCCCCAAGGGGGCCAUGGAACUACAGGAAAUACUUCAGCAAAAGGUUGCUAAGAUGAAGGGACUGCAAUGUUUCCCAUGUGAGGAAAAGCUAAGGGAACUGGGACUGGCCAGCCCAGGGGCAUCUCAUCAACACACACAAAUACCUGAAGAAGGGAGAGUACAAAGAGGAGAGAGACAGAUUCUUUUCAGUGGUGCCUAAUGACAAGACAAAAGGUAGCAGGCACAAACUGAAGCAGAGGAGGCUCUGUCUGACCAUCAGGAGGCACUUCUGUUCUAUGCAAACAAUGGAGAAUUGGCAUAGUUGCCCAGAGAGCUUCUGGACUCUCCUCCUUUGAGGAGCUCCAAAAGCCACCUGGACAUGGUCCUGGGCAUCUGCUCUGGGCAGCACUACUGGAGAGGGGCUGGGCCAGAGGACACAGAGGUCCCUUCUAACCUCAAUCAGUCAAUGAUUCUGUGAAGAAAAGUUUAAAUCAUACAUGCAGAAAACGGCUGCAGACCUUAAAACAGUGCCUGAUUCCUUCUGCUGUCUCCUGAACCAGCUAGUCCUCUCUGACUUGCUAUUCAGCACCUUCUUGUAAUCAUCGAGAACACUUCUAAUUGGCCACUAUAGAAUACCACAUCUCUAGCAUACUCAUACCACAUCUGAAUUACUCACUGCUCCUGCUUUGAAUCACGACCAAUGAUGAUUGGACUAGAUCCUCUUGUAGAUCCUUUCCAACCCUGUGGUUCUACGAUUCUAUGGGGGUACAGCCUUGGAGAAAGGAAAUAAUAUAAAGGUGAAGAUACCUGCAAAAAAGGACAUCUCCUUCAGCCCUUCCAACUGCACGAGCAGCAGAAUAAACUGAUUACAAAACCCGCAGGCAUUUUCUCUGGCAGGACAGAGAAACAUAUUACUAAGAG
rnacentral:lncRNA from 1 species